UUUAUUAGAACAAAUUCCUUGACAUACAGUUCAGUCUCAUACAUAUUGUACAAUUCUUGUCUUAUACAUAUUUUUUCCUACUCAUACACACACAUUUUUUUGUUAUGUUUUUG